UACGGAGGAUGCGAGCGUUAUCCGGAUUCAUUGGGUUUAAAGGGUGCGUAGGCGGAUUAAUAAGUCAGCGGUGAAAUCCUACAGCUUAACUGUAGAACUGCCGUUGAUACUGUUAGUCUUGAGUUUGGUUAAGGUAGGCGGAAUGUGUAAUGUAGCGGUGAAAUGCUUAGAGAUUACACAGAACACCAAUUGCGUAGGCAGCUUACUGGACCGACACUGACGCUGAGGCACGAAAGCGUGGGGAUCGAACAGG
rnacentral:rRNA from 1 species